GAACAUGAUUACUGGUACCUAACAUGCUAACUGUGCUAUUCUUAUCAUCGAUUCCACGACUGGUGGUUUUGAAGCUGGUAUUCAAAAGACGGACACACCCGUGAACAUGCUCUUCUUGCUUUUACCCUUGGUGUCAAGCAAGAUGGAUGCCACCACACCAAAGUACUCUAAAGCGAGGUGUGAUGAAAUUGUUAAGUAAGUGUCAUCAUACUUGAAGAAGGUCAGGUACAACCUGGACAAAAUCACAUUUGUUCCAAUCUCUGGAUCUGAAGGAGACAACAUCAUUAAGAGGUCUACGAACCUUGACGGUACAUGGGUCCGACCCUUUUUGAAGCACUUGACCAUA